rnacentral:rRNA from 1 species
AUUGAACGCUGGCGGCAGGCCUAACACAUGCAAGUCGAGCGGAGCGGCGGACGGGUGAGUAAUGCCUAGGAAUCUGCCUGGUAGUGGGGGAUAAAGACCGGAAAAGGGCGCUAACACCGCAUACUAUCAGAUGAGCCUAGGCCGGAUUAGCUAGGUGGUGGGGUAAAGGCCUACCAAGUCGACUAUCCGUAACUGGUUGGAGUGGAUGAUCAGUCACCCUGGAACUGAUGCACGGUCCCUCCUCCUACGGUAGGCAGCAGUGGUGAAUAUUGGACAAUGGGCGAAAGCCUGAUCCAGCCAUGCCACGUGUGUGAAGAAGGUCUUCGGAUUUUAAAGCACUUUAAUUUGGGAGGCGUUACCAACAGGAUAAGCACCGGCUAACUUCGUGCCAGCAGCCGCGGUAAUUC